UCUGCACGCGACGACGCAAACAAAAACGGCUAACUUGAUAACGCUUAAAGUUCCGGUUCUCCUGAUUUCAAGUUCAACAAGUUUUUUUUAAACAGUCACAGUAAGAAGCCAAAUUAGUUGAUACUUCACCGACUCACUGGCAUGUUAAUCCUCAGACUUCUCCUCUUCUUUGGUAUUUUCUUUGAGCUCUCCUUGCUGGACUCCAUCACCGUGCUUCCCAUUUUUGUCUUCAAAGGAGCGAAAACAGAAAAAAUUUUAUUCCCUCACCUGGGCUGUUGGGAUGGAAACGGAAGUGAUGUGCCUGCUGCUGUUGCAUCAUCCCCUGCGCCCCGCCGGGCCUUAUCAUCUGUCCCGGCCGUCCGUGAAGCCCUCCAUUGUCUCCUUGUCCAUGGAACAGCAUGGGGGGUCGAGGCUCCAUGCCAUGGGGGCCCACUCUAGGACCACUGAGCAUAGAUAUGGGCACCCUGUCUGGGGUACUGCUGACCUCAUAACUACUUGGGAUCUUUACACACAGCACAGGAAGCAUGGGGAGGACAGGAGACAGGCAGGGGGACGGUGGCUCUUCCUUUACCAGAGACAGGUCUGGGUAGCGACUGAUCUCCAUGCCAACCACACUCUCGGGAGAUGAGGAUGGAACAAAACUAUCAGCAUUUGUUUAGGUAUCUCACUAUGGGGCCAUGGUACAUGGGGCCGUCAGUAUUGGCAGGUUCAAAAGAUGACUUCAGCUUCUCUCACAAGUCCAACUACCCGACAGCCAACCUCAUGCUCAAAACAGCGUGAAGAGCUAUGACAUUCAAAUUUUACAACCUCCCACAAGCAACAACAUCCACAAAGAAAAGAAAACUACUUUCUAUGAGCAGCUCCAUCAUCUUUGUAAUCCAGCAACAGGGUUUAUUUGGGAUGGUGGUUCCCUCCUCAUUGGCAGAGAGUUGUUGACAGAGAAAAGUGUCUCCAUCCAUGAGGCUAGGGUGAUAUAAUAAAGGCAUGGAAAGUCCAUAGUCCCAUUAAUGUUAAAUAUACAUUUGUUUUAAAUUUUUAU